rnacentral:ncRNA from 1 species
AAAAAGUUUUAUUUAAACUUAAAAUUUUAUUUUAUCAUUAUUAAAUAUGUAAAUUUUAUUUUAAAAAAUAUUUUGCAGUUUUUAAUAUUAAAAAUUUAUUUAAGUAAGUUUUAGUAAAUGAUUAUAGAUUUAAUAAAAUUUGUGCCAGCAAUUGCGGUUAUACAAAUAAUUCUAUUAAAAUUUAUUGGUUAAUAAUUAAUUUUUUUAUUAAAAUUUAUUAUUAAAAUUUUUAAGUGGAAUUUAAAUUUUAAUAUAAUUUUUUUAUUAUUUUUUGAAGUUAUUAAAGUUAAAAUUAAACUAGGAUUAGAUACCCUAUUAUUAUAAUUGUAAAUUUAAAUACCAGAUUACUAUUAGUUAUUUUCUUUAAAAUUAAAAAAUUUGGCGGUAUUUUAGUCUAUUCAGAGGAACCUGUCCUGUAAUUGAUAUCCCACGAUUAGUUAAACUUUUUUUUUAUUCUUGUAUAUCAUUGUUUUGAAUAUUUUAUAAGAAUUUAAAUUUUCAAUAAGUAUAUAAUAGUUAAUUUCAGAUCAAGGUGCAGUUUAUAGGGAAGAAGAGAUGGGUUACAUUAAAAUUAUUUUUGGUUUAAUAUUUUGAAGGAUAUUAUUAAAUUGGAUUUGAUAGUAAUAUUUUAUAUAUUUGAAAUAUGAUUUUAGCUCUAAAAUGUGUACAUAUUGCCCGUCGCUCUCAUUAAUUUGAGAUAAGUCGUAACAAAGUAGAUUUACUGGAAAGUGAAUCUAGGAUUAAU